CUCGCGUGUCGUGUCAGCAGCCGCGGUAAUACGUAGGGGGCAAGCGUUAUCCGGAUUUACUGGGUGUAAAGGGAGCGUAGACGGCUGGACAAGUCUGAAGUGAAAGCCCAGGGCUCAACCCUGGGACUGCUUUGGAAACUGCCCGGCUAGAGUGCUGGAGAGGUAAGUGGAAUUUCCUAGUGUAGCGGUGAAAUGCGUAGAUAUUAGGAGGAACACCAGUGGCGAAGGCGGCUUACUGGACAGUAACUGACGUUGAGGCUCGAAAGCGUGGGGAGCAAACAGGAUUAGAUACCCUGGUAGUCCACGCGGUAAACGAUGAAUACUAGGUGUUGGUGUGCAAAGCACAUCGGUGCCGUCGCAAACGCAAUAAAGUAUU
rnacentral:rRNA from 1 species